rnacentral:rRNA from 1 species
UUGACUUGCCGGCAAGCCUAACACAUGCAAGUCGAGCGGGGGAGGUAGCUUGCUACCGGACCUAGCGGCGGACGGGUGAGUAAUGCUUAGGAAUCUGCCUAUUAGUGGGGGACAACAUCUCGAAAGGGAUGCUAAUACCGCAUACGUCCUACGGGAGAAAGCAGGGGAUCUUCGGACCUUGCGCUAAUAGAUGAGCCUAAGUCGGAUUAGCUAGUUGGUGGGGUAAAGGCCUACCAAGGCGACGAUCUGUAGCGGGUCUGAGAGGAUGAUCCGCCACACUGGGACUGAGACACGGCCCAGACUCCUACGGGAGGCAGCAGUGGGGAAUAUUGGACAAUGGGGGGAACCCUGAUCCAGCCAUGCCGCGUGUGUGAAGAAGGCCUUAUGGUUGUAAAGCACUUUAAGCGAGGAGGAGGCUACUCUAGUUAAUACCUAGAGAUAGUGGACGUUACUCGCAGAAUAAGCACCGGCUAACUCUGUGCCAGCAGCCGCGGUAAUACAGAGGGUGCGAGCGUUAAUCGGAUUUACUGGGCGUAAAGCGUGCGUAGGCGGCUUAUUAAGUCGGAUGUGAAAUCCCCGAGCUUAACUUGGGAAUUGCAUUCGAUACUGGUGAGCUAGAGUAUGGGAGAGGAUGGUAGAAUUCCAGGUGUAGCGGUGAAAUGCGUAGAGAUCUGGAGGAUACCGAUGGCGAAGGCAGCAUCUGGCUAAUACUGACGCUGAGGUACGAAGCAUGGGGGAGCAAACAGGAUUAGAUACCUUGGUAGUUCCAUA